rnacentral:rRNA from 1 species
AGUGAACGCUGGCGGUAGGCCUAACACAUGCAAGUCGAACGGCAGCACAGUAAGAGCUUGCUCUUACGGGUGGCGAGUGGCGGACGAGUGAGGAAUACAUCGGAAUCUACUUUUUCGUGGGGGAUAACGUAGGGAAACUUACGCUAAUACCGCAUACGACCUACGGGUGAAAGCAGGGGAUCUUCGGACCUUGCGCGAUUGAAUGAGCCGAUGUCGGAUUAGCUAGUUGGCGGGGUAAAGGCCCACCAAGGCGACGAUCCGUAGCUGGUCUGAGAGGAUGAUCAGCCACACUGGAACUGAGACACGGCCCAGACUCCUACGGGAGGCAGCAGUGGGGAAUAUUGGACAAUGGGCGCAAGCCUGAUCCAGCCAUACCGCGUGGGUGAAGAAGGCCUUCGGGUUGUAAAGCCCUUUUGUUGGGAAAGAAAAGCAGCAGGUUAAUACCACGCUGUUCUGACGGUACCCAACGAAUAAGCACCGGCUAACUUCGUG